AUUGAACGCUGGCGGCAGGCUUAACACAUGCAAGUCGAGCGAGGUGAUGGUGCUUGCACUAUCACUUAGCGGCGGACGGGUGAGUAAUGCUUAGGAAUCUGCCUAUUAUUGGGGGACAACAUCUCGAAAGGGAUGCUAAUACUGCAUACGUCCUACGGGAGAAAGCAGGGGAUCACUUGUGACCUUGCGCUAAUAGAUGAGCCUAAGUCGGAUUAGCUAGUUGGUGGGGUAAAGGCCUACCAAUGCGACGACCUGUAGCGGGUCUGAGAGGAUGAUCCGCCACACUGAGACUGGGUCACGGCCCAGACCCCUGCGAGAGGGCGCAGUGGGUAAUAUUGAGCAAUGGGGGGAACCCUGAUCCAGCCAUGCCGCGUGUGUGAAGAAGUCGUUAUGGUUGUAGAGCACUAUAAGCGAGGAGGCGGCUCUUUUGGUUAUUACCCAAGAUGAGUUGACGUUACUCUCAGAAUAAGGACCGGCUGACUCUGUGCCAGCAGCCGCUGUAA
rnacentral:rRNA from 1 species